AAAACAUCACCUCCAGCAUUCCCAGUAUUGGAGGCAUUGCCUGCCCAGUGACAACUGUUUAACGGCCGCGGUAUCCUGACCGUGCAAAGGUAGCAUAAUCAUUUGUUCUCUAAAUAAGGACUUGUAUGAAUGGCCGCACGAGGGUUUUACUGUCUCUUACUUCCAAUCAGUGAAAUUGACCUUCCCGUGAAGAGGCGGGAAUGCACAAAUAAGACGAGAAGACCCUAUGGAGCUUUAACUAACCAACCCAAAGAGAAUAAAUUUAACCAUUAAGGAGUAACAACAAUCUCCAUGAGUUGGUAGUUUCGGUUGGGGUGACCUCGGAGAAUAAAAAACCCUCCGAGCGAUUUUAAAGACUAGACCCACAAGUCAAAUCACUCUAUCGCUCAUUGAUCCAAAAACUUGAUCAACGGAACAAGUUACCCUAGGGAUAACAGCGCAAUCCUAUUCAAGAGUCCAUAUCGACAAUAGGGUUUACGACCUCGAUGUUGGAUCAGGACAUCCUGAUGGUGCAACCGCUAUCAAAGGUUCGUUUGUUCAACGAUUAAAGUCCUACAUGAUC
rnacentral:rRNA from 1 species